rnacentral:rRNA from 1 species
GUAACCUGCCCCCGACUCUGGGAUAAGCCCGGGAAACUGGGUCUAAUACCGGAUAUUACCUCUUGCCGCAUGGCAGGUGGUGGAAAGAUUUAUCGGUGGGGGAUGGACUCGCGGCCUAUCAGCUUGUUGGUGAGGUAAUGGCUCACCAAGGCGACGACGGGUAGCCGGCCUGAGAGGGUGACCGGCCACACUGGGACUGAGACACGGCCCAGACUCCUACGGGAGGCAGCAGUGGGGAAUAUUGCACAAUGGGCGAAAGCCUGAUGCAGCGACGCCGCGUGAGGGAUGACGGCCUUCGGGUUGUAAACCUCUUUCAGUAGGGAAGAAGCGAAAGUGACGGUACCUGCAGAAGAAGCGCCGGCUAACUACGUGCCAGCAGCCGCGGUAAUACGUAGGGCGCAAGCGUUAUCCGGAUUUAUUGGGCGUAAAGAGCUCGUAGGCGGUUUGUCGCGUCUGCCGUGAAAGUCCGAGGCUCAACCUCGGAUCUGCGGUGGGUACGGGCAGACUAGAGUGAUGUAGGGGAGACUGGAAUUCCUGGUGUAGCGGUGAAAUGCGCAGAUAUCAGGAGGAACACCGAUGGCGAAGGCAGGUCUCUGGGCAUUUACUGACGCUGAGGAGCGAAAGCAUGGGGAGCGAACAGGAUUAGAUACCCUGGUAGUCCAUGCCGUAAACGUUGGGCACUAGGUGUGGGGGACAUUCCACGUUUUCCGCGCCGUAGCUAACGCAUUAAGUGCCCCGCCUGGGGAGUACGGCCGCAAGGCUAAAACUCAAAGGAAUUGACGGGGGCCCGCACAAGCGGCGGAGCAUGCGGAUUAAUUCGAUGCAACGCGAAGAACCUUACCAAGGCUUGACAUGUGCCAGACC